UGCAGCGUUAAACGGAUUUUGUUUUUCUAGCAAUUUUGAUGACGUCACUCGUAAUAGUUCACUCAAUUAUUGGGACCGUGCGAUCUAUUUGACAAUUUGACAGUUAUCGGUUAAUAAUAGAACUUCGUAACUGCGAAUUACAUCGGCUUGUUCGAAGAAAAGGCUUCAAACCUUUUGAUUUAAGAAGAAUCGUGUAAAUAGUAAACAAGUGCGUAAUCAUCACGAGUCCCUAUGAGAUAUGGGGGCAUCAUAUGAACAAUUUGAAAAUACAAUAUAGGUAACCUACAGAUUUAUCUGUGUAAGAUAAAAGUAAUAUUCUACAAUCAAUUCCGAGCACUAGGAAUAAGAUUACCCAGAGUAACCACAUGGAUGCAUUGAUAGUAUUCAAGAAGCCAUGGUGCCAGCGCAACAUGAAUAAUAUAUUUUUUUCAAUAGGAAGCAAUAUCAUACUUUUAAUGUUUAAGUGCAAUAAAAAACAUUUAUAAAUCCAAAAUCUUUAUUUAGUCCUUUUUAUUUAUUCAUUGACAAAUAAUUUGCUCCUUUACUUCUCUUGAUAUCAUUUAUAUAUAAAAAAAGUGAUAAAACAUGGAAGUAUUCGAAAUUAGAUUCAAUUCUAUUUAGCUUAAAUAUUUAUUAAAAACAAUUAGGUAGAUAUAUAACUCAAAUCCAAAUUUGUAAGUAAAUAGCAUAUUAAAAACACCCUUGAUUAAAAAAAAUUAAAUUUUUAUUUAUAAUACCAGCCUUUAAAACUUAAAAUGCAAUAAACAAAAACUUUGUAUUUACAUCACAAUGAAUAAUUCCUACACUAAUAGUUUAAUGGUAUUUAGGUAUAUUUUUAUUUUAAAUUUAAAUCAAUUAUUGUAUUUGCAUAAUAAAGAGUUGAUAAAUCAUUUAAAAACUUGCAGUACUUAUGUACCUAUACUUUUACAUUUACAUUUUCAGAUGUAUGAUACAAAUAUGAAUAUUUUAAGUGUCAGACAUGGUGGCGCCUCCCCCAACUUGAAGUUCUCACUACCACAUGAACAUCUCCCAAGCCGGUACUUCCUUGUUCAAUGUUUGGGCAAGCCGGCAAUCAACACAACUGUGAAAGAUAAAUUGGAUUUAAACUGAUUAUUUGUUGCUUUAAAAUUUAAUAAGUACCUUUAAUAUGUUUACUUUUAUUAUUAAAGGGCUUGUCAUGGUGUAUGUAAACAUCUAAAAAGAAGUUUUUUAAACAAUGUCGGUAUGGUUUGUUAGAUACCUUAUUUGUUAACUUCAAUUAACAAUAAUCAAAACAGACGAAAUCAUGCAAAAACCAAUACUUUAUUCGUAAAAAUAUAUCUGUGUUAUCAUAAAUCGUCCAAUGUUUUAGAUACCUAUAAUAUAUUUAUUACUCGUAUAUUAUCUUACCUUGCUAUUUCAAUUGCUCUUUCAUGCCUCUUUCAUGCAUUCUUUAAUGCAUAUUACUUAUCUUUCGCAAUUUUUCAAUUUGAUUUAUCCAAAUUUUAGAUAUUAUUACGAGGACACCGCCAUUUUUAUAUUAACAACCUAAUAUGGGUACGUUUUGUUGAGUUCACAAAAUAAUCUUACUUUAUUUUGGUACCGGGAGCCUUCAAAACAUGAUUACUAUACGAUUGCCUACAAUGUCCAAUGAGCGAAUGAAUUCCGAAGUUUUGUCUAUUUUUUUAAGAUUAAUGGCUUGGCUACGAGGCUUUUAGGCCAAGUCGUAAUGAUUUGUAUCGAACAUUAAACGUCAAAAAUCAAAAUGUCAUGUCACUGACCUCAUAAUUCAUAUCAUUAUCUAAAAUUUCAGAUAAACUUAAACUUAAAUAAUUAUGUGAAUCUCAUCUCUGGAUAAAUGAGAAAGUGCGAAAAAGCAAUAUUGAAAUAGCAAGCAGAACAUUGUGCAGAGUGCGCGAAGCUCCCUGACCCCGAAGUUACAAAGACAAAGAUAGGUACAUAAAUAACUCCCAACGAGGUAAAAGUUAUGAUGAGACGAAGUUGAUAGAAUUCUCUGCUGAAAGUUUAAGUGCAAAUGAUUUGGGAGUUCACAAAAACUAGAGCAGCUGGUCAAAAUUGUGUUGAUUGCCGGCUUGCCCAAACAUUGAACAAGGAAGUACCGGCUUGGGAGAUGUUCAUGUGGUAGUGAGAACUUCAAGUUGGGGGAGGCGCCACCAUGUCUACACUUAAAAUAUUCAUAUUUGUAUCAUACAUCUGAAAAUGUAAAAAUUUAAUUGUACCUUAAUAUAGUACAUUGUUUUCAUUUUAAGUUUAAUAAAAAUGAAAUUAAAAGUAUACAUAAGUACUGCAA